AUUCCUGUGAGCCAAGCACCAAAUAGUCAUUGUUAAGCAUAUUGAUUACUUUUCACAACCACCUAGUACUACACAUUCAAUUAACAUCAGAAAUACAACCUGCAGUAUUGCAGAGCAAGACAGCAGGAUAAAAGUCAGAAUUAGAAUUAACACACACAUAAAGCUACCAUUAAAGGUUAGUGAUUACUGAUUACAAGCCAUAUAAAGAAAGAAAUUUAGAUUGGGUCAUCAUAUCAGUUGUCACCAGUUUAGAUUCAUGUUAUGUCUAUCGGUAGUAAGCUUGCUGGUAAGCUGGGGCCAUUCCAUUGCAGUAGCCUCCGUAUGGAGAGUAGUUCACUGGGGUGCCUGGAUAGGGGGCAGCUUCUGGGGAGUAAGGGUAAGGUGGGCUCCUGUUACCGUAGAUGGUUGGUGGUGAGGCAUAUGCUGGAACUGCUUGAGGGUAUUGGGUGUGUGGUGGAGACCUAACAAAUGCUGGAGCUACAGGGAAAGAUGAAACGUAGGCAUUUGUUGAACGGCCUGCCUUAGCAGGAGGCAUAGGACCACCAUUAUUGGCUCUCGUUCUUUUGUUUGCUGGUACAGCAGCUGGCCUCUUCUUCUCAUUCUUCGGCUUCUCCAAUUGCUCAAGCUGCUUCUUAAGGUUCUCGGGUGGAAAUUCAGCUUCAAGCUUGUAUUCUUCAAUGCACUUGAGAACAGAACGAAUUGCUGAUUGCUCUUUCUUAGAAGCAAAAUGCGCAGCUCGACCAAAAUUAUUAGGAUCUUCCAGGAUUGCAGCAGCAGCUUUUUUCGCAUCUUUUAGAAAAGCUUUCAGAAGAGGAACAGGAGGGAACUUAUCUGCAAGUCCAACUUCAUAAGUGAAAUGUACAGCAUCAACUUGCUGUCCCCGGCUGAUCAGUUCUUCAAUCAUCUCAGGCAUUUUAUCACCAAGGCCAAGAGAGAUAGCAAGUUUAGGCAUCUGUUUCCUCCAAGCAGACCCAACAACAAGUUUCCUAUACAAAUCAAAGUCCUCAUCCUUCACAACUCCAAA
rnacentral:misc_RNA from 1 species